UACGGGGGGGGCAAGCGUUGUUCGGAAUUACUGGGCGUAAAGGGCUCGUAGGUGGCCAACUAAGUCGGACGUGAAAUCCCUCAGCUUAACCGAGGAACUGCCUGCCAGACUGCAAGGCUCGAGACCGGGAGAGGUGAGUGGAAUUCCCAGUGUAGCGGUGAAAUGCGUAGAUAUUGGGAGGAACACCAGUGGCGAAGGCGGCUCACUGGACCGGAACUGACGCUGAGGCGCGAAAGCGUGGGGAGCAAACAGG
rnacentral:rRNA from 1 species